UCUAAUAGAAAUUUUUAUUAGUAUAGCCUGCUCUAUGUAAAAAUAAAUGGCCGCAGAACCCUGUGCUAAGGUAGCAUAAUAACUUGCCUUCUAAUUAAAGGCUAGUAUGAAAGGUAUCUCAUAUUGAUUUCUUUAUCAAAUAAAAAAAUUUAACUUAACCUUUUAGUAAAAAGGCUAAGAUUUAUAAAAAAGACGACAAGACCCUGACAAACUUUACUUUUUUGUUUCACUGGGGUGGUGAAAAAACUUUAUCUUUUUUUUUCCUAAAAAACAGAAAAAUUCUAUUCUUUCCAAGUUACUGCAGGGAUAACAGCAUAAUUUUUUCCAAAAGCUCUUAUAUAAGAAAAAGUUUAUGACCUCGAUGUUGAAUUAGGUAACUAUAAGGGGCAAAAUCUUUACAAGCAAGUCUGUUCGACUUUUAAUCUCCUACAUGAUUUGAGUUCAGACCGGUGUAAGCCAGGUCGGUUUCUAUCUUUUCUUUAAAAAUUUUCAGUACGAAAGGACCAAAAUUUUCUUAUUUUC
rnacentral:rRNA from 1 species